CUCUUAAAAUAUUUUAAGUAAUCUCUGCCCUAUGAAAAAUUUAAAUGGCCGCAGUAUUCUGACUGUGCAAAGGUAGCAUAAUCAAUUGUUUUUUUAUUGAAAACUGGUAUGAAAGAGGCGACGAAAUGUAAUCUUUUAUUUUUAUUAAUAAAAUUGACAUGAGGGUCAAAAGGCCCCCAUAAACCAAAGGGACGAUAAGACCCUAUAAAACUUUACUUUCUAUUUUAAGUCAAUUAGACAAGAUUUAUAUACUAUAGUUGAGCUGGGGCGGCAAUAAUAAAAACUAUUGUGUAUAAAAUAUAUAUUCAUAGAGUGCAGGAACUUUUAUAAAACAUAGAACAAGUUACUUUAGGGAUAACAGCAUAAUUCCUCCUGAGAGUUCUUAUUGGCGGGGGAGUUUAUGACCUCGAUGUUGAAUUGGAAGUCCUUGUAAGAGC
rnacentral:rRNA from 1 species